rnacentral:rRNA from 1 species
CCUGAGAUCAGCGGCGGACGGGUGAGUAACACGUGGGUAACCUGCCUGUAAGACUGGGAUAACUCCGGGAAACCGGGGCUAAUACCGGAUAACACCUACCCCCGCAUGGGGGAAGGUUGAAAGGUGGCUUCGGCUAUCACUUACAGAUGGACCCGCGGCGCAUUAGCUAGUUGGUGAGGUAAUGGCUCACCAAGGCGACGAUGCGUAGCCGACCUGAGAGGGUGAUCGGCCACACUGGGACUGAGACACGGCCCAGACUCCUACGGGAGGCAGCAGUAGGGAAUCUUCCGCAAUGGACGAAAGUCUGACGGAGCAACGCCGCGUGAGUGAAGAAGGUUUUCGGAUCGUAAAACUCUGUUGUUAGGGAAGAACAAGUGCCGUUCGAAUAGGGCGGCGCCUUGACGGUACCUAACCAGAAAGCCACGGCUAACUACGUGCCAGCAGCCGCGGUAAUACGUAGGUGGCAAGCGUUGUCCGGAAUUAUUGGGCGUAAAGCGCGCGCAGGUGGUUUCUUAAGUCUGAUGUGAAAGCCCACGGCUCAACCGUGGAGGGUCAUUGGAAACUGGGGGAACUUGAGUGCAGAAGAGGAAAGUGGAAUUCCAAGUGUAGCGGUGAAAUGCGUAGAUAUUUGGAGGAACACCAGUGGCGAAGGCGACUUUCUGGUCUGUAACUGACACUGAGGCGC